GACGAACGCUGGCGGCGUGCUUAACACAUGCAAGUCGAACGGGAUCCAUGGAGUAGCAAUACUCCGGAAGAUCUAGUGGCGAACGGGUGAGGAACACGUGAAGAACCUGCCCUGAACUCUGGGAUAACAGUUGGAAACGACUGCUAAUACCGGAUGUCGUUGUCGGAGUCGCAUGGCUCUACAACGAAAGUUUUUCGGUUCAGGAGGGCUUCGCGGCCUAUCAGCUAGUUGGUGAGGUAAUGGCUCACCAAGGCAUCGACGGGUAGCUGGUCUGAGAGGAUGAUCAGCCACACUGGGACUGAGACACGGCCCAGACUCCUACGGGAGGCAGCAGUGGGGAAUCUUGCGCAAUGGGCGAAAGCCUGACGCAGCAACGCCGCGUGCGGGAAGAAGGCUUUAGGGUUGUAAACCGCUUUCAGCAGGGAAGAAAAUGACGGUACCUGCAGAAGAAGGUGCGGCCAACUACGUGCCAGCAGCCGCCGUAA
rnacentral:rRNA from 1 species